rnacentral:tRNA from 1 species
GUUGGAAUAAUUCAGUUGGUUAGAGCGUGUGAUUAUUAAUCGCAAGUCGAAGGUUCAAACCCUUCUUUUACCA